UCAAAAUGAAUUGUUUUCAUUGGGGACCGCCCCUUUGCACACCCCCUUUGCGUAUGCGCAACAUCCGUUCUGUCAUUUGCCGCCUUUUGUCUAACACUGACUGUGGAAACUGACUGGGGAAACUGACGGUGGAAAGUCUAUUAUUUGUUUGAUCAGCAUUAACAAGCACCUUGGGGAAACCUCUUAUUUAUGGUUAUGCAUGUGGCAGUGCAAACACUGCAGUUUGGAACUAGCUAGCAGAUUAAAAGGUGUUCCAUAACGGCAGGUCGGGCGCUUCUGCGCAUCAUCUUUGCCGACCAGUCUGACUCUAGACAACUGACCCUGGAUUCGGGAAUCCCAGCAACAGUUGAAGAACUGCACACAUUUGUCAAGACAUCUCUUCAAUUGAAAGAGGA